CUCGGAAUUAAAAUCCUUAUAUUUUUCGCAAUGAACAUCGUUUUACAACUUUCGUUGUUUCCUUGAAUGUUUUUUUCUUUCUCAUUUAGCUUAGGGGUCAACUGCUUCCCGUAUGAAAUACGCAGAUUUGGUGAUAAUAGCCCUGCCUGUCCUUAAUUGUAAGGAAAUCUUACAAAAAAGUAACUGGAGUUUGUUGAACGACUUAUGCUUUUGGUUUGGUUUUUUUCUGUUUUUUUUAAAUGUGGUAAUGUUUGUUCUUGAGUUUAUUUCUGUUCUUCGUUGAGUUUGAAACAAAACGGUUCUGCUGACGUUACAGAACCGACACUAACACUAUGGGUGUGUAGAUAUACACACAUAUAAACAUGUAGAAUACACUUCUAUAUAUAGAUAAUAUACAAAACAUGUAGAACACAUAUAUAUGUACAGAUAUUUACACAUUUAUGCAUACAUAGGUACACAACCUUAAUGAUUAUAUACAAUCAAAAUACAUACAUACACUCACAGAUAUAUAUAUAUAUAUAUAAUAUAUGUAUGUAUGUACGUACGUGAUGCGGUUUAUUUAUAUUUAGUUAAAAGAUCUAAAAUUCAAAUUCCUUGACAUUCUUCAAAUCUGUUUAGAUAUAUUCGUCUGUUUAUGCAAGUGUUGCAUGUAAGAUUUGUACUUAUUUGUGAACGUGCAGUUCGUUUUUUUCUUCAAUACAUACAUACAUUAUACAUACAUACAUACAUAUACAUAUAUAUAUAUAUAUAUAUAUAUAUAUAUAUAUAUAUAUAUAUAUAUAUAUAUAUAUAUGUAUGUGUGUAUGUAUGUAUCUAACUAGUAGAGUUUUCUCUUCUUUUCAAAUAAUAUAAUAGAAGAGUUAGUUAUACGAAUUAUUUUCUGUCUUUAUAUAUUUAUGUUUUCCUUCCUUUUCUUUUAAAAAAAAAAGUAAUUUUGAUUCAGUGUUUAACGAAAAAAUAUAUUUGUGUUCCUUCGAGCAUGGAUUUCAGGGUUGUUUGUUUAUCGCAAUCCUGUUCUUUGAUAGCCAGUGCAUCCCAGGGUGCCUCGGAAUUUAAUUACAAAAAUAAGAAAGGAUACCGAAAAUAUAAUGUGUGGUAAUAUGGUAAUAAACCAAUGGACUUUUUUUUGAUCAGGCUCAUCGCGAUAUAUAUAUACAAUAUAUAUAUAUAUAUAUAUAUAUAUAUAUAUAUAUAUAUAUAUAUAUAUUCGUGUGCGUGCCUAUUGUUUGUAUUCAGGUGAGUGUGUGUUGGCCGCUGUUUGAAUGCUGUACAUGUGAAUAGCAGAGCGAUUAAAGAAUAUAUAUUGGUGCUUCGUUAAAAUCUUAUUAACGCAUGAUGAAAAAAUCAUAUUUUGUUUUUAGCAAAAGUUGCUAAUACAUCUAGUUUGUUUCGUUGUUUGAUGCGAAAAUGCUGCCUUUUACGUAUAUAUUUACACAUAUAUUUCCUCUUGUUCGUUUUCCUUUUAAAUAAAUUUCGUUCGGUUGACUGGGUAGUCUUGUUUAAUUUUUUUAUCAUUUAGUCCAUUUUCUUGACUCACAUACUCCCACUUUAAUUUGUUUCGUUCUUGUGUUUGUUUGUUUGUUUGUUUGUUUUUUUAAUUCUUAUAACCAUAAUAAAAUGCUUCUAUCGUUGCAUUAAUGUCGUACAAUAUUUCUCUCGAAAUCUUUCUUUUUUUUUUUUUCUCUUUUAUUUUUUAUAUAAACCUUCAUCACCAUAGCAUCACACGAAGAAUUUUCUUGGGUACCUCCAAACAGGUCUAAAUUGUAAUAAAGACUCAAUCAAGCAUUCGAAAAAUUCUGUAAAUAUGUGUAUAUAUAUAUAUAUAUAUAUAUAUAUAUAUAUAUAUAUAUAUAUAUAAAAAAUUUGAACUCUUCCAAUUUUUACUCUUUUUCUUUGUUUUUGCGUUAUUUUUUUGUUUUCAAAAGCUUUUCGUUUACCAGAAAAUAGACUCCUUUUUCAAUUGCUAAAGUUACGCAUGUUCGUGAAAGUAUAUGUCUGUGUGACAAUGUGUGUGUGUAUGUGAGCAUGUGUGUAUGUGUGUGUGUGUAUGUGUGUGGGUGUGGGGGUGUGUGGGGCUGUGUAUGUGUGUGUCUAUAUCUGAGUGUAACAUUGAAACUUCCGUGUGAAUUUAGUUUGUAGUCAUCCUGCCAGUGCAUUUAACUUGUAGCAAGAUCAGCUCAGCUAACAACAUUCGAAAUAAACGAAGAAGAAGGAAAGAAGGAAAGAAAGAAAGAAAGAAAGAAAGAAAGAAAGGAAAAAAAAAAAACCAAAAUGGUGGAGAGGUAGAGAAGAAAAACAGAACGAAAGGGGGGCGGAGAGGGAGAGGGAGGAAUAUCGAAAGAAACAAAGACAGAAAGAAAGAGGGAAAGAAACUAUAAGAAAACUUAUCGAACGAAAACAAACACUAAGUAAAAUUUUUUGCUUGUCAAAGAUCAGCCCUGAAUGCGAAAUGGGUAACAGAAGGGAAAGAAGAAGAAGAGAAAGAAUGUAGUAGUAGUAG
rnacentral:lncRNA from 1 species